rnacentral:rRNA from 1 species
GAGUGCUUGCACUUGGAUGGACCGAGUGGCGGACGGGUGAGUAACGCGUGGGUAACCUGCCUUAUACAGGGGGAUAACAGUUGGAAACGACUGCUAAUACCGCAUAAGCGCACGGUAUCGCAUGAUACAGUGUGAGAAACUCCGGUGGUAUAAGAUGGACCCGCGUCUGAUUAGCUUGUUGGUGAGGUAACGGCCCACCAAGGCGACGAUCAGUAGCCGGCCUGAGAGGGUGAACGGCCACAUUGGGACUGAGACACGGCCCAAACUCCUACGGGAGGCAGCAGUGGGGAAUAUUGCACAAUGGGGGAAACCCUGAUGCAGCGACGCCGCGUGAGUGAUGAAGUAUUUCGGUAUGUAAAACUCUAUCAGCAGGGAAGAUAAUGACGGUACCUGACUAAGAAGCACCGGCUAAAUACGUGCCAGCAGCCGCGGUAAUACGUAUGGUGCAAGCGUUAUCCGGAUUUACUGGGUGUAAAGGGUGCGUAGGUGGUAUGGCAAGUCAGAAGUGAAAGGCUGGGGCUCAACCCCGGGACUGCUUUUGAAACUGUCAAACUAGAGUACAGGAGAGGAAAGCGGAAUUCCUAGUGUAGCGGUGAAAUGCGUAGAUAUUAGGAGGAACACCAGUGGCGAAGGCGGCUUUCUGGACUGAAACUGACACUGAGGCACGAAAGCGUGGGGAGCAAACAGGAUUAGAUACCCUGGUAGUCCA